ensembl:miRNA MIR676 microRNA 676
CUUCACCUGGAUGCAUGACUCUUCAAUCUCAGGACUUGCAGAAUUAAUGGAAUGCCGUCCUAAGGUUGUUGAGUUCUGCAUUUUGGGGC